rnacentral:lncRNA from 1 species
AUGACAAAGAUGGGACGCUUUUGCACUGGAUAUUGCAAAUUGUAUGUGUUUAUUUUCCUAUAUUUCCCUGUUCUUCUCUGUGUAGGGCUGUGUAGAAGUGAACACAGGAUGUUCACAUCUGUGAAGGCAACAGAAACGUCAUUCCAAAUUGCAAUGGAGACAGAGAGCAUCCGGUCGGGCGGAUUCUUUACCAAGCUGAGUCACCAGGGAAGCCGGAAGAAGGACCAGCUGGUCUGUUUAUCAGUGACAGAAGACAGGAGGAGGAGAGAACCGUUUCUGAGUGAGGCAAUCAAAUCUGUCUUGGUCGCUUCAUGGCCGGAAGGCCCUCGGAUAGCAAGGCUGGAGUGUGGGAAAUGCUGUCUCCUCACAGGAUGGAUGCCGUCAGUUAUUCAGGUUGAUCACCUUGGCGGUACUUGGAUGGCAUCACUGACUCAAUGGACGUGA